rnacentral:lncRNA from 1 species
CCAUGGGUUUCAAACUUAGUGGUUUUAUUUUGGACCACAUAUUUAUUUUUACAUUAUCUUUAUUUUUUACUUAAAAAUAAUGACCACAUAUUUUCCUUACAUGCACUUAUUCUACACUAUGCAUGAGAGGGGAACCAUAUCAGAUUUUUAAGGCAAAAAACCCUAGCUAUCUCUCACUUCUGAUCUCUCUAAACUUAGAGAGAUCACCCGCAUUCUCUAAAAUUGGAGACUCUUAUUUCUCUCUAUCUCACGCCUGUCAACCCCCCCUCCCUUUCUCGCCGGCCAACCGUCGGAUUUGACUACCGGUGGGUCUGGUCGGCCACCACUGCUACCACCUCACCUCCCUGCUCACAUCUCUCUCACUUCUCUCUCUGUUGCGACGAACUCACUGAAAAUCGGUGAACUUGCACAUGGCAUUUCAGAUCUAACAAGAUCUGGCUAUAAUUGAUGUUAAAUCUGGCGACCUCUAUGAAACUAACACCGCUUGACCGAAGAACAUUUUUUGAUAAUCUUUUGAAUGUUGAGGCGUCGUUCCGAUACUUUUGCCGUUGAAGCGGCGUCAUUGACUCUAGAACUCUCUAGAUCUGGCCAUUUGUCCAUUUUAUGCUAGUUGCCUGAAUUUUAGUUACCAGAACCUUGUUUUCAGUGACCCUCACAUUUUUCGGCGAGCUUCACCAGCGGACGACGCCAUUGUUUCUUUUGGUACUAUUCGGGUGUUUGUUUUCCCUAUUGUUAUGGUCGAUGGCUCCUGUCUCGGUAUUAUUGGACUUCGUCCCUAUGAUGUUGGUUUUUAUGUUGGUUGGACUCUUGAUUUUUUUCGGCAAUCUCUUUGGUCGCUAUUUUGUGUUAUUGUUUAUGUUCAUGGAUGUUAAUGUUUUAAUUCUUUUGGUUGACUUAUCUUUAUGGUGAUGGAUGUUGUCGGCUUUAACUCCACUGUGGCUCCCUCUACUAGCCGAAAAUUCGUUGAUGAUUUUAAGACUAUUUGCCUCUUUAAUAAUAGUAUCUUUGUUUAGGCUCAGUUAUUUCUUGUCCACGUUGUCGAUGCUGUUGUGCGGAUGCUUUAACAGUAUUCAUGUCGUGGAUUUUGUUGUGAUAUGCUCGAUGGGAAUACUUUUUAGAGGUACGAUGCCCCGAAUGACUCUCAGAUUUGGCCUGAAAUAACGAGCCGAUGGUGAUAAACAUCGAAAAGGAAAAAGAUGAGAAUUUGACGAACCAAUAGCCCUUCGAAAAUACGACACAAUUAGCUAUCUAGUCGCAACCAAGGCGGUUAUCGUUAUCAUGUCUAGUCGGAUAUUACAUAUAUCUGAGCCUCCUAUAUUAUUUUUCUAAACUAUUUUCCAAUAAAUAAACAAUUUUCCAAAAGCAUUUUCAAACUAUUUUCAAAAACAAUCUUUCAAAAAUAUUUUCAAAUAAAAUCAUUUCAAAAUAAAUUAGUUUAUUAUUUACUUUAUAUUUUACUAAUAAUUUCCCUUCUUUUGUCUUGCGAGGUACUAUCACACGAGGUUGCUUUCGGAAGAUGAUACCCGAAGACGAAAAGACAAAUCCCCGUCAAGCCUCCCAUUUCGUAACUUCCCUUCUUAGAUGUACAAAACGCAAGUACAGUGAAACCGUAGAUAGAUAUCAUAUUUGCUAGUUUACUUGAUGUUUACAUAUUUGCCAACACUUCGGUUGUGUUGCAUCUAGUUAAUAAUCCGGUCAACUUAAGAUAUUAUGUGCUAGAUAAUUUUGCGAAACUUGUACGCAGAUUUAGUAUGUCAGAUAUAUUUAUAACUCAUUUGAUUAAUUAGGAUUAGUGUACACCUAGUUAAUUAAUUGAGUUAAUAAAAUGAAAGGCGUGUCAUUUCCUUGUCAAAAUAGGCGACUUUACCUCUUUACAACUGCAUUAACAUGAUCUUUCUUUUAACCAAUCUCUUUGUAAAUUAUUUUUGACUAUCUUACUUCAAAUAGACAUAACUUGUAAAAGCAUAAAUGAGUCUACCAUAUGUAGGAUUAAUUCAACUAUUGCAUACACAUGGGUCUAACUUGAUGACAAUGUUCUUUAUGGGCUUUUAUGAUAUUUUGUACAGGGUUGGUAAUACUCUUAGCCUCUUUAUAUAUUUGUUAUCUACAUAUGCAUUUUAUAUUUACUUAUCUGUUCAUUCAAUUCUUUUGAACCAAGCUCUAGUUGCUUUCUUGUAUGGUCUUAAUUUUCUUUUGUUAUAAAAAUCAAUAUUCCUUUAUACUCAUACACUCUUGACAAAACGUUUUACGUUUUAUUCUUUAUAUAUUUAGUCAAGUAUUUUAGUCAAGUAUUUUAGUCAAUUACAAAACACUUACUCAUUUUUGAAGAUAAUUUUCUCCAUUAUUUAUUUAUUUUUUACAGAUUUUCUUGUAUAUUUAAUACAACUCAUUGUAGUAAUUAUUUGACUUUAAUCAUAAAAUAACUUCUUCAAGUUUAUUCAAACUCUUUUAGAACGUUUCACUUGUUGAUAUACAUUACUUAUAUUUGAUUUAAUUACUCCAUUGUUAUAUGUAAGAUUUAUGUGGAUAAUUUCCUUUUUAUACUCCCCUAUUCAUGACAACUUUCCCUACUUUAGUCGAUCAUUUCUUUAAGCUAAUUGCUAAUUGUUUUAUUUAAAAUAAUUCUUUACCAUUUUAUUAUAUGCGUUCAAUUAAGAUCAAUCUUGUACAGUCAAAUCACUCGACGUUAAUUGUAAAUUGGGAUCUCCUUUAUACCUUAUUUAGAACCCAAUUCUUUCUAUCGAACUCCGAAAACGAUUUUUUUUUGUUCAUUAAUUUACUUUGCAUAUCUUACUGUAUAUAUUUUACCACAAAUGAAAUGAUCAUACUUUGAAUAUUUAUCCACCUCAUGACAUUGCAUUGGCUACUCUUUGAUAGGAAUUCUUUUUGAAAUAACUAAUCAUUCUUUUCAACCUUCCCUCCCUUAUUUGAUCGAGUCAACCAGAACUAUAUUUUUGUGGAUAUUGAGGGAUGCCUAACAACUUUCCCUCGAGAUAACUUGAACCCUUACCUAUAAUCUCAACAGUUUCGCAGAGUACUAUAAGUUGUAAUUUAUUUCGUCUUGUGUAAAAUAGGGUGCAACAACAUGGCGACUCUACUGGGGAUACUUCAGUUUCUAAUCACAGCGGACUUGAUCAAUUACUUGAGGGAUUACAGGUUCUCUGAUACUCCAACUUCUAUUCUUUCUGUCACAUGCUUCAACUCAUAUAUUCACUGCUUCAAGUUUUAUACUCUUUGUUUCAAGCUGUAUAUUCAUUGCUUUAAGUUGCAUAUUCUUUGUUUCAAGUUGUAUAUUCUUCAUCGCAUGCUUAAAGUAGUCUAUUCUUUGUCAUCCGCUUCAAGCAGUAUAUUUUGUUAUGCGCUUCAAGCGGUAUAUUAUUGUUAUGCGCUUCAAGCAGUAUAUUCUUGUUGUGCAUUUCAAGCGGUAUAUUCUUUGUCAUAUGCUUUAAGUGGUAUAUUCUCUGUCAUCUGUAUCAGGCGGCGUAUUCUCUGUCAUGCUCAUGUUGUAUAUGCUCCCCACAUAUCUAAGUUGUAUAUUCUUGUUUAUCCUAAAAAAUGGAGAAAAAUUAAAUUUAUUAGUGGUUUUAAGGAUACGUGGAUUUAUUCAAUACAAACGGUAAAGAAUGCUAGAAUAAACAGAUAAGAGAUGUAAUAAAUUAUCAUACCUCUUGAAAAUAAAGGGGGGUGAUUCUGGACUCGAGGGCAACCUCAAUGAAUAAUCAGACCCCCCUUUAUAUAGUAAGGGAGUCCUACUCUAGGUACAAUUCUAUAAAAGGCAAAAAAUCUUCCGUUUAACUAAUCAUCGAAUUUCCGCCGGUACGUGCCAAGAUCCACGUCGCGAUACCCAGCUGGUCAGGGAUAUCACGACCUCCCGUUAAUCAUGUUCGGUUGCCCAAUAAUGCUCUCUGAAUUCUUUUAAGAUUUGGACCGAUACCAGGGUCACGGCCCCGAUAUUCUUGAGGGCGGGCAUCGUGCUCCCAGAACCUGUGUCAAUGAGUCCCUUACCUCGAUUUCGGCUCCUUGUCAUCACGUCCCUUACUCAAUUUAUUUUAUCAAAAAUCGGGCUGUUUUAUGAGUCCGAUUUCACCCGUAUACAGAUAGUCCCCUCGUUUCUCGGAGAGUAAGUUUUACGGAAACGACGAGGAAUGACAUGAGUUCUUCGAUCUCUUCUCCAACACGCUGCGACACGAAAUGAUAAAGAAACCGCAAUGUCCCAUCAGAAGCGUCAUAAUGACCCCCAACGCGUAUCAGUCGUCAGCAGGCCACUCCUGGAUGUGAAACAGCGCGAAUCCCCUAUAAAUACCUCUUCUUUCAUUCAUCUUUUACUUUUGACCAAGCUUCUACCUUCGAUCCUUCAAGAUAUCAUUGCCUUCCUUCAUUCUUCAAUAUUCUUACCUUCGUUCUUCAAAUUGCAACCUUUCUUUUACCCCUCACUUAAGCCAGUGUUCUUGAUUUUCUUAGCAAGUUCUCACCCUUCAUCUUCUCAUUCUCCUUCAUACCUUCAAACCUUUUUAUCAAGAUAAAAAAAAUGGCAAAGAUUUCCAAGACCGUUCCCCAGAAAGAUUCUCCUUCUUCUACGCAGCCGACCACUGAGGUCAAGGAGACCCCGCUCCUGAUGUGGUCAUCCUCGAGAGGUCCGCUCCGAGCGUGGCCACUGAUGAAUCGGUAGCUGAGCCCCUCUUGAAAAUGUUUGGGGGGGGGGGUGUUCGGUUAAUGAUGAAUUUAAGGUCGAAAAGCCCUCUUCGAUUCAAGGCCGAUGCGAGGUGGUGUCACUGUACAUCUGCUCCAUUACUAAGGCCGUUCUUCCUGCAGUUCAAAAAGACUGUGACUGGGUGGAUAAGGAUGUAGUGAUUCUCGGGCCCGAUGACGAUAUCACUACCCAUGUUGAAGGAUAUAUGAGUAUUUACACUUAUCUCUUUUACAUUGGGCCCGGUGUACCCGGUCAUCUUGGACUUUUGUAGGAGGUACGACGUAUGCAUCUGCCAAAUCCACCCAUCGCUGUGGAGGAUUGUGAUCCUCCUCUGAUUCUUUGUGAACAAAAUCGAUUCAUGUACUGUUCACCAUCGAUCAUCUACUCUGCUUGUACAGUCCCCGAAUCUUACGGGAGGGAAUGAUAAAGCUUGUACGCUGGGCCAGCAAAGCCCCAUUUUCAAGUAUCGACGAGGACCAGAAUUGGGGUUGGCAAGGAUGCUUUAUCCAGGUGAGGACCUCCGACCUGAUACCUGCCCAGUGGAGGCCACUCCCCGAGAAGUACAACGUAUCACGUAACUAUAACUCUUAUAAAACAUUGAUUUUAUGUUUUAUCUUCACUUUUCUAAUUGGUGUUUGUUGUGGAGCAACCCUCGCUCGAGUCCUAAAUGCCAUUACUCGGCUCAAGGAGUGGAUCAGAGGCAUUUGUUCGCAGAUUCCUUAUGCCGAAUGCUCAUGGCACGAGCUCUCGAAGAGCCGCUGGGAGGCCCAUUCUCACGGUAAGAUUCUACUCUCCGAGUAAGUAGCACUAGACUUUCUUUUUCAAUACUAUGUCCUCAUUGCUUCUCUUCUUUUUUGCAGGCUUGCCUAAGACCAUCGAGCUUAGGCCCUUGGUAAGAGGUGAGUACCUGCCCGAUGAUCGUUCUGCUUCGGGGCAGCCCAGAGCCAUAGCAGGAGAGAAGAAAAGGAGGAGGGCCCCGAGUUCCCCUAGCUCAAAGAAGAAGAAACCAAGGAGAAGGUUGGCUCGUAAGCCAAAGGAAAGGUCCAGCUCCCGAGUGCCUGAUUCAAACUCACUCUUCUGGUUCAGGGACGAGCCCGAGGAGGACUAUCUUUUGUGGCCCGCGAGCCGUCCGUUCCCGAGGAACAGAUGGCAACCAAGGGGGAAACAAUGGAGGCUAAUCCCCCUCAAGUUCAUGAGGCUGGUACAUAGGCGAGGGUCGAGACCUCUCGAAUCGUGGGCUUCGCCCAGUGUUAUAGAAAUUUUAGGAUCGCUCUCAUUCACAGAACCCAUGUUCGAUGAAGCCCGAGUGAUGAAGGAGCAAUCCAAUGAAGUGGCUCAUGGAGCGGACGAUCCCCUUUGAUGCUUCUUUGAUGGUAUAGACUCAACCGCCCUAGAAGACUUCUUCGGGUUGAUGAAUGCACAGUCUUUCGCUCAGUCUUUGAUGAGUGCACAGCCAUCUGGGCCCAGUCAGGGCAACAGGGGACCCCACCAACAUGGUCGACCUGGAGGGAGAUUCCAGCACUAGCGGAGGCCCCCAUGCCCUAAAUGUGGAAGGAUGAAUUUUGGGGUCUGCCUCAUGGACCUACAUAUAUGCUACGGGUGCGAUAUGAGGGGUCACAUUCAGAGGGACCGUUGCUCGUCCCGCCGGAUCAUGGGAAAAGGUGCGGCGCAACCAGCUAGUUCUGCAGCUACUACAUCCACAACACAUCCUUCAGCUCGAGGCACCCCAGCACCCGCAGGGCAUGGUGCAGCUAGAGGUGAUGCACAGAGUUCGGGAGGACCCAACAAAUUUUAUGCUAUGCGGAGGCGUCGAGAUUCAGAGGCUUCUCCAGAUGUUGUCACAGAUAUAUUGAUUGUCCAAUCCCAUGAUGUAUAUGCUCUUAUUGAUCUCGGUUCCACGUUGUCCUAUGUCACUCCUUAUGUCGCUAUGAAAUAUAGGAGAUGUCUUUGGGUGCUGCUAAAGAAAGUGUCUAAACACAUUCAGGGACCAUGGUUGGUCACCGAGGACUUCAGCUUCAUGAGCCGUUCUCUGUAUCUACUCCGGUUAGCGAGUCUAUUGUGGCUGCGAGGGUUUAUAGGGAUUAUGUUGUCACACUGCAUGUUUGGGACACCCUGGCCGAUCUCAUUGAAUUGGGGAUGGUUGAUUUUGAUGUAAUAAUGGGGAUAGACUGGCUUUAUUCAUAUUUUGCUAAGCUUGAUUGUCGAACCAGGACUGUUAGGUUUGAAUUUCCAAAUGAGUCGGUGAUUGAAUGGAAGGGGGAUGAUGUGGUAUCGAAGGGUAGGUUUAUUUCUUACCUUAAGGCCACGAAGAUGAUUAAAAAGGGGUGUAUCUACCAUUUGGUUCGGGUUACGGACAUCGAUGUUGAGGUACCUACACUUGAGUCCGUGCCUGUUAUGGGUGAAUUUCCGUAGGUCUUUCCGUAUGAGCUCCCUGGGAUCCCACCAAACAGGGAGAUUAAUUUUGGGAUUGAUGUGAUGUCGGGCACGCAGCCUAUAUCUAUUCCACCCUACAGAAUGUCACUAGCAUAAUUGAAUGAGCUAAAAGAACAAUUGAAGGAUUUGUUAGAGAAGGGUUUCAUCCGGUCGAGUUUGUCGCCUUAGAGUGCACCGGUCCUCUUUGUAAGAAUGAAAGAUAGGUCAUUAAGGAUGUGUAUUGACUUUCGGCAGCUCAACAAGGUCACGAUCAAGAAUAAGUACCUACUGCCAAGGAUAGAUGAUUUGUUUGACCAAUUGCAGGGUGCUAAGUAUUUCUUCAAGAUUGAUUUAAGAUCCGGGUAUCACCAACUGAAGAUCAGGGAGCAGGAUAUUCCGAGAACAGCUUCCAGGACCCGGUAUGGGCACUUUGAAUUUCUGGUAAUGUCUUUUGGGCUACCAAAUUCCCCGACAACUUUCAUGGACCUUAUGAAUCGAGUCUUAAAGCCUUUUCUUGACUCCUUUGUGAUAGUGUCCAUUGACAAUAUUCUGGUAUAUUCAUGAAGUCGAGAGGACCAUGUCGAUCAUCUCAGGGCAGUUCUACAGACUAUAUAUCUACACAAGUUGUAUACGAAAUUUUUUGAAAUGUGAAUUUUGGCUUGAAUCUGUUACAUUCUUGGGUCAUGUCGUCUCCAGAGAAGGAUAUAAGGUUGAUCCUAAAAAGAUUGCAGUUGUGAAGAAUUGUCCUAGACCUACAACUCCAAUAGAGAUUCGCAGUUUCUUGGGCUUAGCCGGUUAUUAUAGGAAAUUUAUGGAGGGGUUCUCCACUCUUGCCUCUCUGUUGACUAAAUUGACGUAGAAGGCGAUUAUGUUCCAAUAGCCAGAUGCUUGUGAAAAGAGCUUCCAAGAGUUGAAAUCAAGAUUAACUACGACACCGGUGUUGACCCUACCAGAGGGUACGUAUGGGUUUGUGGUAUAUUGUGAUGCUUCAAGAAUCGGACUUGGGUGUGUAUUAAUGCAACAUGGCAAGGUGAUAGCUUAUGCUUCUAGGCAACUCAAGAAUCAUGAAAACAACUAUCCAACACAUGACUUAGAGCUUGCGGCGGUGGUAUUUUCAUUUAAGAUUUGGCGUCAUUAUCUAUGCGGGGUCCAUGUGGAUAUAUUCACGGACCAUAAGAGCCUCCAAUACAUUUUCAAAUAGAAUGAAUUGAAUCUAAGUCAUAGAAAAUGGCUUGAGUUACUCAAGGAUUACGACAUCGAUAUUUUGUAUCAUCCGGGGAAGGCUAAUGUUGUAGUGGAUGAUCUUAGUGGGAAAUCUAUGGGCAGUUUGGCUCAAUUGGAGGCAUAUCAAAGGCCGUUGGAGAAGGAGGUUCAUCGGUUGUCUAGUUUUUGAGUUCGUCAUGCAGAUUCUAGUGAAGUAGGAGUGAUUGUGCAAAAUAGGGUUGAAUCAUCACUUGUUGUGGAAGUCAAGGAAAAGCAGUACAGUGACCCAUUGUUGGUACAGUUGAAGGAGAGGAUUCAUAAACAUAAGACCAUGGCCUUUUCUCUUGGCAUGGAUGAUGGUACACUAAGGUACCAAGGGCAACUAUGUGUUCCAAAUGUGGAUGAUCUCCGGGAAAGAAUCAUGAUCGAGGCUCACACUUCUAGGUAUUCGGUGCACUCGGGCUCUACAAAGAUGUAUCAUGAUCUUAAAGAAGUCUACUAGUGGAAUGAUAUGAAGAGGAUUGUAGCGGACUUUGUGGUGAGAUGCCCAAAUUGUCAACAAGUAAAGGCCGAACACCAACGGCCUGGUGGGUUGGCACAGAACAUAGAAAUUCCAAUGUGGAAGUGGGAAAUGAUCGAUAUGGACUUUGUGGUGGGACUACCUCGCGCGCCUCGUAAGUAUGACUCGAUUUGGGUGAUUAUGGAUUGACUCAUGAAAUCAGCUCACUUCUUACCUAUUAAGGCUACCGACACAGCAAACAGUAUGCUCAGAUGUAUAUCGAGAAAAUAGUCAGGUUGCAUGGCACUCCAGUUUCUAUUAUCUCGGAUCAAGGGGCAUAGUUCACAACUAACUUUUGGAAGAAAUUUCCGCAAGGUUUGGGUACUCAGGUGAAUUUUAGUAGAGCCUUUCACCCACAGACUGGCGGGCAGGCAGAGCGGACUAUUCAGAUGCUUGAGGAUAUAUUGCGCGCUUGUGUUCUUGACUUCAAGGGUACCUGGGAUGAUCAUUUGCCACUCGUAGAAUUUGCCUACAACAACAGNNNNNNNNNNNNNNNNNNNNNNNNNNNNNNNNNNNNNNNNNNNNNNNNNNNNNNNNNNNNNNNNNNNNNNNNNNNNNNNNNNNNNNNNNNNNNNNNNNNNNNNNNNNNNNNNNNNNNNNNNNNNNNNNNNNAGGUCUCCCAUUGGGUGGGGAUAAUUUUGGUAUGGUUGGACUCCUAACGGAAUAGGUGUUUGGAAUUUGUGAGUUUGGUCGGGUUCUAAGGUUGUCACGACCCCAAUUUCCCCACCUUAGGAUCUCGUGAUGGAACCUAGUCUCUAAGACUAGGUAAGCCUAACAUUCAUUGAUAGCUUAGCAAGAUUUAACAACUAAGAUAAUAAGAUAAUUCGUUAAAACUCAUAAUAACUCAAAACGGAACAUCUAUAACAUAAUUCCCAAAACCGAUGGAACUGAGUCAUAAGCCUUACGAAAUAAUCUAAGAAUCUCUAAUACAACAUUGUCUCAAUAGAAGAUAAAUAGUAGUAAAAGUAAUGACUGAAGGUGACUCCGAGGCCUGCAAACGCCAAGCAGGUAUACCUUGAAGUCUCCGAAAUGUAUGGUCAAAUCACUAAUGCCUAGCCCGAGCUGAGUACACCACAAUGGUACUCAGUAUGUAUCAAACCUAACCUCGAUAUAUUAGUGAUGAGUUCAGGUCAAGACACCUACUUGGAUAAGAGAAACUGAACAAGGUAUAGUAUAGGCAAAUAAUGGAAGACGAGGAAAUAAAUGACUAUAAAGCAGUUCAAUAAAGUAAGCUAACAAUGGAAUUUAAAACAAUAAAGGCAACAAGGAGUGAACACAUGGUAAGAACAUCAAGAAUCAAUACGGACGAGUACAAGUAGGGAAAAUAAAGAGAUAACAAAACUGUUCAACCAACACGCCUCUUUAACAUAGAAUGUACAAUAAGAAUCACAACUGAGGUACCGCCUCAUAUCCACUUUUCACAAUUCAAAAUCACAACAUUUCCUUAUACCGCCGCGUGAGCCUUACAUUAAGAUAUUUUGAAAAGAUUUUUUCCGAAAUAGCUACACGCACUUUAGCCCUUUUAUGUCGCCGGGUGACUUCAAGUAAUUUCCUUACUAGCAACUUGCACAUAAAUUCCCUCCUUAUGUCGCGCACGCACAUUAACCCCUAUCCUUAUACCGCCGCAUGCGCAUCAAUAUCACAACACAAUAACAACUCACACCACAAGUGCCCAUAUGCCACAACUUGCCAAAAUCAACAAUACCAAAGUUACCACAACGUAUAGCCCAGGGCUCAAUCACAAUGUGAACAAGAAUCUCCAUAAUAACAAAGUGAGUGAGAAUUUCUCAACAAGGAAAGACAUCUCAAUAAUCAACAACUUCAAACAAGAAUAACCCGGCACUAAAGGAGGUGACAUAACAAUAAGAGAGAUAGCAAAGGCAACUAAGGCAUAUAAGAGCAUGUUUGACAAUAAGAGAUAGAGUAGGUGAUACAACAUCAAGUAAAGCAUGUAAGAAAAAUUUAACAAUGGAAGAUCUAACAUGAUAUUUCAACUUCUAAUUAGAUACAUCAAAGAGUCUAAGAGUCUAAACCGGUCAAAAUACCCCAUAUAAGCCUGUGUACAUACUUGUCACCUCGUGCACACGUCUUUCACAUAACCCAAAUAACGUAAAUCAACCCAAGUCCUAAGGAGUAGUUCGCCCACAAAAAGUUAGGCAAGAUACUUACCUCAAACAAGCUAAAUCAACCCACUAGUAAGCCUUUUUCGUGCAAAUUCAACUUCGGAUGGCUCGAAUCUAGCCAAAAUAACUUAAUACCAUAAAUACAAACUAUAGAAAAUGAUUUCGGAUAACAAAGUUGCAAUCUUUAAAGAAAAUCAUAAGGUCAACUCAAAAGGUCAACCCCGGGCUUGCACCUCGGAACCUGACCAAACUUACAAAAUCUGAAUACCCAUUCUGAUACGAGUCCAACCAUACAAAAAUUACCCAAUUCCGACCUCAAAUCGACCUUCAAAUCCUCAAUUUAUAGUUUAAGACAGUUUUCACAAAAUCCCCAAUUUCUCCAACUCAAAUCACUAAUUAAAUGAUAAAAACAAUGAUGGAAUCAUGAAUAAUAAGCAAAUCCGAGCACAAAAAAAACACUUACCCCGAUCCAAUCCUUGAAAAUCCACUCCAAAUUCGCCCAAAACCGAGCUCUCUAACUCAAAAUAUGAAAAAUGGAAUAAACCCUCGAUUCACUCUUAUUUCUGCCCAGGCUUUCUGCACCUGCGGCAAUUCUGUCGCAUUUGCGACUCCGUAUCUGCAGAAAAUCCAUCACAGAUGCGGCUUCCACUAAAGGUCAGAAACUCCGCAUGCGCGCCCGCUCUUGUGCAACAGUCACCGCAGAUAUAAGUGCGCAGAUGUGCAACCGCAGAAGCAGGAAAAGCUCUUCCAAACAUACUAUCAAGUCCCAAAAUACUACACGAACCUACUCGAGGCCUUAAAUCACAUCAAACAAUAUCAAAUCCACGAAUCACACCCCAAUUUAAGCCUAUUGAAUUAAUUAACAUUCAACUUUUAAAACUAAUGUCGAAUCAUAUCAAACCAACUCUAAAUGAGCUCAAAUUUUGAAUGCAAGUCCCUAAUGACACAACAGAUAUAUACCAACUCCUGAAAUCACAAUCCGGACCUGAUAUCAAUAAAGUCAAUCCCUCGGUCAAACCUAUCAACCUUCAACUUUCUAUCUUUUGCCAAAAAGCACCAAUUCAACCUACGCAACUCCAAAUCAACUUCUGGACAUACACCGAAAUCCAAAAUCACCAUACAAAGCUAUCAGAACCAUCAAAAUUCCAUUCUGGAGUCGUCUACACAAAAGUCAAACUCCGAUCAACUCUUCCAACUUAAGCUUCAAACCUUGGGACUAAGUGUCCCAAUUCACUCCGAAACUCACCCGAAACCAAACCAACCACUCCGGAAAGUCACAUAGCCACAAUUGAACUAGAGGAGGCAAUAAAUAGUGGAACGGGGCUAAAAUACUCAAAAUGACCGAUCGGGUUGUUACAUUAUCCCCCUCUUAAAACAAACGUCCAUCCUCGAACGAGUAUAGAGACAUACCUGAAGUGUUAGAAGGUGAGGAUAACGGAUACAGAUAUCAUGCUUGGUCUCCCAAGUCACCUCCUCAACUGGUUGACCCCUCCAUUGAACCUUCACUGAAGCAAUGUUCUUUGACCUCAACUUUCGGACCUGUCUGUCCAAGAUGGCCACUAGCUCCUCAAAAUAAGUCAAAUCCUUGUCCAAUUGGACUGAGCUGAAAUCUAACACAUGGGAUGGCUUUCCGGAGCAUGGAAACAUGGAACACCAGGUGAACUGCCGAUAAGCUGGGUGGAAAUGCAAGCUUGUAGGCCAUCUCCCCCACUCCCUCAAGGAUCUCAAAAUGACCAAUAUACCUAGGGCUCAACUUGCCCUUCUUCCAGAAUCUCAUCACACCCUUCAUGGGUGAAACCCACAGCAAAACUCUCUCCUACCAAAAAUGCUACACCACAAACCUUCUGGUCGGCAUAACUCUUUUAUCUAGACUGUGCUUUACGAAGCUUGUCCUGAAUCAACUUGACCUUCUCCAAGGCAUCCCGAACAAGAUCAGUACCCAACAACCUAGCCUCCUCCGGCUCAAACCAACCAACUUGAGAACGACACUGCCUCCCAUAUAAGGCCUCAUAAGGAGCCGUCUGAAUACUGGAUUGUUAGUCGUUGUUGUAGGAAAACUAUACAAGCGGAAAGAAUUGAUCCCAUGAACCCCCAAAAUCAAUAACACAGGCACGUAGCAUAUCCUCUAAGAUCUGAAUGGUGCGCUCAUACUGCCCGUCCAUUUGGGGCUAAAUGUUGUACUCAACUCGAUCCGUAUGACUAACCCACGCUGCAUAGCUCUCCAAAAAUGCAAUGUGAAAUGCGUGCCUUGAUCAUAGAUAAUGGACACCGGCACACCAUGAAGACGAAAAAUCUUACAAAUAUAGAUCUGAGCCAGCUGCUCUGAAGAAUAGGUAGUCACCAACAGAAUAAAAUGUGUCGUUUGGUCAACCUAUCCACAAUAACUCACACUGUGUCAAAUUUCUUCAAGGUCAAGCCCAACAACGAAAUCCAUGGUAAUACUCUCCCACAUUCACUAGGGAAUCUCAAGUCUCUGAAGAAAUCCACUCGGCCUCUGAUGCUCGUACAUCACCUGCUGACAAUUCAAGCACCAACCCACAUACUUCACAUUAUCUUUAUUCAUUCUUCUCUAACAAUAAUGCUGCCUCAAAUCUUGAUAGAUCUUAGCGGCACUCGGAUGAAUAGAGUACCGCGAACUGUGGGCCUCCUCAAGAAUCAACUCACGCAACCCAUCCAUAUUGGGCACACAUAACCGACCCUGCAUCCUCAACACCCCAUUAUCUCUGAUAAAAACCUCCUUGGCAUUGCCAUGUUGUACCGUGUCCUUAAGGACAAGCAAAUGGGGGUCAUCAUAGUAAUUAUCUCUGAUGCGCUCAAAUAAAGAAGACCGAGAAACCACGCAAGCAAGAACCCUACUAGGCUCCAAAAUAUCUAAUCUCACAAACUGAUUGGCCAACGCCUGAAUAUCCAAUGCUAGCGACCUCUCACCAACUGAAAUAUAUGCAAGGCUACCCAUACUCUCAGCCUUUCUACUCAAGGCAUCAGCUACUAUAUUGGCCUUCCUAGGAUGGUAUAGAAUAGUGAUAUCAUAGUCUUUCAACAGCUUUAACCACCUCCGUUGCCUCAAGUUCAGGCCCUUUUGCUUAAACAAGUACUGUAGACUCCGAUGAUCUGUGAAUACCUCGCAAGACACGCCGCCUCCAAAUAUUCAAUGCGUGAACUAAAGCUGCCAACUCUAGAUCAUAAACGGGGUAGAUCUUCUCAUGGGACUUCAACUGGUGCGAAGCAUAAGCAAUCGCCCUAUACUCCUGCAUUAAGACUCACCCAAUACCAAUCCGCGAUGCAUCACAAUAAACCAUAUAUGAACCCGAUGCUGAGGGCAAAACUAGAACUAGAGCUAUGUUCAAGGAAGUCUUGAACUUCUGAAAGAUCUCCUCACACUUGUCAAACCACUGGAAUUGAGCACCCUUCUGGGUCAAUCUAGUCAAAGGUGCAGCAAUAGACGAUAGACCCUCUACAAAACAGCGAUAAUAUCCAGCCAAACUAAGGAAUCUCCGAAUCUCAGUAGCUGAAGACGGUCUAGGCCAACUCUGAACUGCCUCAAUAUUCUUCGGAUCUACCUUGAUCCCCUCGCUCGACACCACAUGACCCAAAAAUGCCACCGAAUCAAGCCAGAAUUCACACUUUGAGAACUUUGCAUACAACUUCUUCUCCCUCACAGUCUGGAGCACGAUCCUCAAAUGUUGCUCAUGAUCUUCCCGGUCGCGGGAAUACACCUAGAUGACGUCAAUGAAUACAAUAACAAAAGAGUCAAGAUAUGACUGGAAUACACUAUUCAUCAUGUGCAUAAAUACUGCUAGGGCAUUGGUCAUGUCACCCCCCGACCUCGGGGAGCGCGACUGGCACUCAACCGAGAUAACCCGGCCGAGCAAGCGUACUAGAUUGCCUUCUACCCAAAUCANNNNNNNNNNNNNNNNNNNNNNNNNNNNNNNNNNNNNNNNNNNNNNNNNNNNNNNNNNNNNNNNNNNNNNNNNNNNNNNNNNNNNNNNNNNNNNNNNNNNNNNNNNNNNNNNNNNNNNNNNNNNNNNNNNNNAUUACUAUCUUGACUUUCCCAAUACCAAUACACAACCCACACCAUGUCUACAGAUCUUCUAAUAAAUACAAAAGAGAACAAUGAUAGUGCCGGAAACAAGGCUCCGACUAUAACUCAAAACAUAAUACAUACAGAACAAAAGAUGCACGACCCCGAAAUGAAGUGGUGCUCACCAAGUCAACUGGGAAGAGAGUGUACCGCUAUCACUGGUCAAUGCCUUCCGUUGUGGAACCACCUGCAUCCAUUAAAGAUGCAGCGCCAUCGAAAAAAUGGACGUUAAUACAUAUCGAAUAGUACUAGUAUGAAAACCAAACACCUAUGCAAGGACUUGAAAAUACAACAUGAAUAUGAUGAAUCAUGGUAACAAUAAAAGGCUUAGAUAGCCGUUAAAUAUAUAGCAAGUUUAUUAAGAGCUUUCAAUAACAUUUAUAAUUUUUUUUAAGUCGGGGAUCCUCUGCAACUACCUUUACACAAAGCGGCACAGCCGCCUCACCCCAAUGUAUGCGGGUGGAGGUGCAAUCACAAUACCAUAAACUCUACACAAAGAAGCCAUGUCUCCUCACCCCAAUGUAUGCGGGUGGAGGUGUAUUCACAAUACCACAAACUCUACACAAAGAAGCCUUGCCGCCUCACCCCAAUGUAUGCGGGUGGAGGUGUAUUCAUAAUACCACAACUCUACACAAAGCGGCCCUGCCGCCUAACCCCAAUGUAUGCGGGUGGAGGUGUAUUCACAAUACCACAACUCGACACAAAGUGGCCCCACCGCCUCACCCCAAUGUAUACGGGUGGAGGUUUAUUCAUAAUGCCAUACUUCGGAUUCCCAAAACGAUAAUAGUUUGUACAACAGAGUUCCCUUUCAAAUCAACCAUUUGUCACCUUUGGCCUUAGCAUGUGUGAGUUCAUAAGGUUUCAUCAUAUGAGAAAUAAGUGUUUAAUCACAUUGAUUUCAUACAAGAUCUUCUUCCCUAAAGGGGUAUAACAUAAUUAAGUCAAAAUAGAGAAUCAUUAACACACGAGGGUUCUAACACGUUAUGCCAAUCGGGAAUCAAUUUUACUAGUUUGAAUACCCCACAUCAAUAGCGUUCCAUGUUUGAACUUCACACGAAGGAGUUUUGUAAGAACACGGGAAUUCCAAUACCAAAAAAAAAGAGUUUAGCCUUCAUACCUCGAAAGAGCUUUUCAUAGUGCCACAAUAAUGUCCCAACACUCCUAAUGAUGCCAAUCUAUCAAGGAGGAGAGAAUUAUAAGCACGAUUAGAGGAAUUCACAUGGCAAGGGCUGUUACAACUAUGACCCGACCUUUCCCUCAGCUAAUUCAAUAACAAAACCACCCAAGAUUGUUCAAAAACUUCCCCGCAGUCUCUAUUAGCUCAUAUAUGUGAUAAAACCUACCCUCAUUACCCACAAUCAACCCAAACCUGAAUUUGAAGAAUUGGGGGAAGAAAUACUUACUUUUUUGAAGCCCUAGCAAGUUCCUUUUGAUGGAAUUCCAAGGUUUGAUCAAUGUAGAGUAGUGAAAUCUAUAGUCCUCUCUUUCCUCUCUCUAGAAUAGCUCUCUCCUCUCUCUAAAAUGUUAGUUAAUCCCCUAAAAAUGAACCCUUAGGCUAGAUAAAUGAAAUGGGGGUCAGUUUAUAAAAUUGGAAAAAUGGAGCCCCAACGCAGAUCUUCGAUUGCAUAUGCGACCGCAUAACACUUCUGCGGUCCGCAAAAUGGACUGCAUAAUGGCCCUCUAGAACUGGGUGUUUCUGCUACACUCUGUGAUAGGUCUGCAGUCCGUAGACCAAUUAUGGGGUCUCAUAAUGGACCACAGAACCUCCUUUCGAAAUUUCUCAUGCUGGAUCUGCGAUUGGAUCUGCGGCGCGCAAAACGAUUCUGCGGCCGCAUAAUGGGUCGUAUAAUGGUCCUCAAAAUUGGUAAAUCUAUCUGCUUCUAUCAGUGGCCAAUCUGCAGUCCGCAAACUUGUUCUGCGGUCGUAUAGUGGACUGCAUAAUUGCCAUGUUCUGCAAACUUUUUCCUUUAACUCCUCGACGCACUGAGCAACCCCAAAAGUCAAUUCUUCAUUAACCUCAAUUGUAUCAACCAGAACAAUGAGCGACAGAUCUCCAACCACCUUCUUCAACAUGGAUACAUGGAACACAGGGUGCACUAAAGACAUCUCUGGAGGUAGUUCAAUGUUGUACGCCACCCGACCAAUCCUCUAAAUGAUUCUGUAUGGUCCAACAUAUCUCAGACUCAACUUCCCUUUCUUACCAAACCGCAUUAUGCCCUUCAUGGGGGAAACCUUCAACAAUACCCAAUCAUCCUCUUUGAACUCCAAAUACCUGCGACGCACAUCCGAAUAGGACUUUUGAUGACUUUGAGCAGUUUCUAAUCGAUCCUUAAUGAUCUUAACCUUCUCCAUAGCCUGAUGCACGAGGUCUGGUCCUAUCAAUACCGCUUCCUCAAUCUCGUGCAAUACCACUCUUUCUCACCAAGCACAUGUACAAAAAUACCAAGAAAGGUAGAAAGCAUAUAGCUAACAUCAAACUCUCGAGUCCGCCAUUUCUUCAUACUCCAAAAGCAGACGAGCAACUCUACUUCUACUUAGCAGUCCCGGAAAUCGCGGUAAGUGGAGUCCUAGAUCGAGAUGAGCAAGGUACGCAAUUUCCUAUUUACUAUGUUAGUCGAACUCUAGGUGAGGCCGAGACCCGGUACCCACACUUAGAAAAUUUGGCGCUUUCCAUAAUAAGAGCCUCUAGGAAAUUAAAACCACAUUUUCAAUGUCACCCAAUUUGUGUAGUGACCACUUAUCCUCUUCACAAUAUUUUGCAUAAGCCCGAACUCUCGGGCCGAUGGCCAAAUGGGCCAUCGAAAUCUAUGGGUACGAUAUCGAGUAUCAACCCCGAACGGCCAUCAAGUCUCAAAUCUUAGUAGACUUCAUGGCCGACUUUACGCCAGCCCUCGUACCUGAGGUCGAAAAAGAACUAUUAUUAAAAUCGGGUACAACAUCAGGGGUGUGGACCCUAUUCACAGACCGCGCUUCAAAUGUGAAGGGGUCUGGGCUAGGCAUCGUUUUGAAAUUGCCCACGGGUAAUACAAUUAGACAGUCUAUCAAAACUUCCAAGUUAACUAACAAUGAAGCCGAGUAUGAGUCCAUGAUUGCAGGUCUCGAGCUAGCUAAGAGUUUGGGAGAAGAGGUUAUCGAAGCCAAAUGUGACUCCUUACAUGUGUUAAACCAAGUCAACGGAACCUUUGAGGUUCGGGAUGAUCGAAUGCAGAGAUACCUGGAUAAAUUACAGGUGACAUUACAUCAGUUUCAAGAAUGGACCCUACAACAUGUACCUCGAGAGCAAAACAACAAAGCCAAUGCCCUUGCAAAUUUGGGGUCAUCGAUUGAAGAUGACGAAAUUAGCACGGGGACUAUCGUGCAACUUUCGAGGUCAGUGAUCGAAGAAGGCCACGCCAAAAUAAACUCCACAAGUCUGACCUGGGAUUAGAGGAAUAAAAAUAUCGAGUACCAAAAGAACGGAAAGCUUCCGUCGGAUCCUAAGGAAUCAAGGACUCUACGUAUGAAGGCCACACGAUUCACAUUGGCCGAAGAUGGAACACUAUAUAGAAGGAUGUUCGACGGACCAUUGGCAAUACGUUUGGGUCCCGAAGACACCGACUACGUCCUACGGGAAAUUAACGCGGGAACUUGCGGAAAUCAUUCUGGUGCCGAAUCAUUGGUUCACAAAAUCAUCAUAGCAGAAUAUUACUGGGCCAAUAUGGAAAAAGAUACGAAGGAAUUCGUUUGAAAGUGCGACAAGUGUCAAAGAUAUGCGCCAAUGAUCCACCAACCCGAGGAGCAACUCCAUUCGGUCCUAUCCCCAUGGCCAUUCAUGAAAUAGGGAAUGGAUAUCGUUGGCCCUCUACCAUUGGCCCCAGGUAAAGCUAAAUUCAUUUUAUUUAUGACUGAGUAUUUCUCUAAAUAGGUUGAAGCAUAGGCCUUUGACAAAGUCAGGGAAAAAGAGGUUAUCGACUUCAUUUGGGACAACAUUAUAUGUCGAUUCGGGAUACCUACCGAGAUCGUAUGCGACAAUGGAAAACAAUUCAUCGGCAGUAAAGUAACAAAGUUUCUUGAAGACCACAAAAUCAAAAGGAUCUUGUCAAUGCCAUAUCACCCCAGCGGGAACGGACAUGCAGAGUCAACGAACAAAACCAUCAUUCAAAAUCUAAAGAAAAGGUUGAAUGAUGCAAAGGGAAAAUGGAGAGAAAUGUUGCCCGAGGUCCUUUGGGUGUAUCGAACAACGUCAAAAUCCAGAAUGGGGUAAACACCGUUCUUUUUAGUAUAUGGCGCCGAAGCUCUAAUCUCGGUCGAAGUCGGGGAACCUAGCGUCAGGUUUCGAUAUGCAACGGAAAAGUCGAAUCACGAGGCUAUGAAUACAAGUCUUGAAUUGCUAGAUGAAAAACUGGAAAGCGCCCUCGUUCGAAUGGCCGCACAAAAGCAACGGAUCGAAAGGUACUACAACCGAAGAGCUAAUUUUCGACAUUUUAUAACAGGGGACUUAGUAUUGAGAAAAGUCACCCUCAAUACCCAAAUUGGGAGGGACCGUAUCAGAUCCUCGAUAUCGUCAGAAAGGGAUCUUACAAACUCGGCACGAUGAACGACGAACAGUUGUCAAAUAAUUGGAACGUGUCACUCCUCAAACGAUAUUACUGCUAAGGUACAACCUUCUCCAUUUUUAUUUAUAUUUUAUACUAACCGUUUGCAGGUGUGUAAUCGAAAACAUCAAGGGAUCCUUCAAACGCAGUCCUUGGGUCUGAAAGCACCCGUUGCACUCUUUUUCCCUUAGACCGGUUUUAAUCCCAAAUGGGUUUUUUCGGCGAAGUUUUUAACGAGGCAACCAUUGUUCGUGCUAACUUAGAGCAAUUCAACAGUAUCUGAGGCUCCUUUACAAUCAACCUCGAAUACUAGGGGGCAUCACCCUCGGAUAGUUACAAGGAAAAUACUUCGUGUCGACAGGGUCUCGAUAGCUAAAUUUUGUAGAGGACCAAACGGUAAGAUGAACCAUGUCUGUGUAGAUUACUCGAGCCCUAAUGGCAAAACAUGUACGCAUGUAUAAUUUAUUGGAAGAAGUAUUUUCCCUUUCCAGAUGCCCCAUGUUUUAAAAUUUAUAAUUUGCAAUCUCAUACUUAUGAUCUAUGGUGGAAACUGGCUUAAGGGCCGAUCACAACUGAAGUUCAAACAAUUUGUCCGAUACUCGGGGACUGCCGUCCAAAAAACCAACACGAUCGAAUUACUAAACCUCGAGAUCGUAAGACCUUAAAAAGGCAAUCCUCGAAUUUAUGGGCCACGUCCACCCCACUCGGGGACUGAUACUUCGAACAAGUUUGAAGUAUAAUAGGGGAGCAAGCCCAAAAGGCGAAUCCCAAGUUAAAGGCUAUGGCCAAAUCAACACGGUUCAGAGACGUCCGAUUUUUGUUAUUAAAUAGGCCUUUGAAUAUUUUCAUAAAUCGGUUAAAAAAGGCUACCCUUGGCUAAAUUUCUAAGGGUCUCGAUAAUAUCGACCAUCGAAAACCCUAAUGGAUACAAAGGCGUUCGAACUCUCGAAUAAAUUCUUUAUUUUAUGUUAAGGCACUGCGAAAUAAAGGGUCUCGAUAAUAUCGACCAUUGAAAUUCCUAAUGGGUACGGAACCGUUCGAACUCUCAAACAAAUCCUUUAUUUUGUGUUAAGGUACAACAGAAUUUAUAUGAUUAAACGAUAAACUUAUCAAGCCGAAAAGGGGGAGAGAGCCACUUUUUUUCUAUGGCCGUGUUGGCCUAGUUUAAGAGCCUAAAAGGCCAGUUUAUUUUUGAGUUUGAAGAAAUCAUCCUCACUCAAUUAAAACCUAAGGGUCACCCUAUUCCGAGUUCGAGCAAGUACUCACUCGAUUAUAAAAACUACACUAGUCUGGUUUCGAUCAAAAUGCCUAAGCCUCAAACUUAUGAACAAAACUUUCACAAGGCAUAAAAGAAAUAAAGACAAGUCAGAAAGGAAAGAGAUAAUUAUAUAUAUAUGAAUAUUUACAAGGUCCGAUCGGGAUCCUAUACAAAAAAGAUCAAAAGUGAAAAAUCUUAAGGUUCCUGAUCUCCUCCGGGGGCAGCUUCUUCUACAUCGAGGUCCUCCCCAUUCUCGGACCCGCUCUUGCUACCAUCAUCAUCAUCGUCAUCGGAAGUGGCCAGCAAUCCAGCUUCGGCUUCAUGCUCUCUACCUUUGCUAUCUCAUUGGUAAGAUCGAAAUCCCGAGCGUGAAUUUCCUCGAGGGUUUCCUCCGAGAUUGGCAUUUGGUGAGUUCAGCAAUCCAAUAUGCUCGAGUUUGUGCGGACUCGGAUGCCUCUCUCGCCUGGACUUGAGCGACUUCAGUAUCCGCCCGAUAGACGACCACGAUCGCAUCCGCCUUGGCUUUUGCUUUUUCGGCUUCAGAUUUGGCCUUGGCAAGUUUAGAAGCCAACCGAGCCUCGAGCUCCUCUAUUUUCCUGGCUUGAGUCAAGCUCCUAUCUUUCAUGCCUUGAAGUUGACUUUCGACCUAUGAUAAUUGGGCUCGAUUAGUCUCUUUUUCUGCAGCAAAGUGGUCCAUACCUUUCUUCCACCCCAAGGACUCUGCCUUUAUUGUGUCGACCUCCUCACAGAACUGCUCGAUCCUCUCGAUUUUCUGUUGCAUCUGUGAGAUUCAAAAUAUUAGCCACCGUUCCCGAGUCGAGCCCAUGAGCUUUUAAGCUUUUCAUUACCUGCUCGAUCAGAUCUAUCUGAUCUUGGUGAGCCUUGGCCAACUCGGCUUGAAGAUCUCUGAUCUCUUCCUCUUUCUGACCACUAAGAAGUUUGAGGGCAUUUCUCUCAUCCGAAAGCCCUCGGAAGUCAGCUUCACAUCGGCUCAGCUCCGCUCGAGACUUGGAAAAUGCCUCCUGAUGUAGAGCUAAAGCCUAUAUAAAAAGAGAAAAAGUUAGGCAGAAAAUGGAAGAAUAUGACAUCAACAAAGGGAAUCAAGACUUACCCGAUUCAGGGCUCGUUGAGCCUCGAAGAAAUGACCCGAUGCGUCACUCGGGCCGGCAGCAUCCUCGAUACUUGUAAAUAAAUCACGGAAGGGGUCCUCUCCCUCAUGAGCUCCAUCCACCUCGAGGGUCCCCAAAUAUCGGGCUUCCCGAAUCGCCCUUUCUGAAAAAACAAGGAGAGUGGGUGAGUCUCCGAUUACUAUUACCCCAAGGGAGUCACUUGGGGCGUUCUCCUCAGUUCGAAGAGCUUCAGGGUCGGUCCCUUCAGAUAUACCCAUUGUUUUUCAUUUCAGUGGGAGACAUCCUCGAUCUCCAAUGUCUCAGGGACUUUUCCCGAGUCCUUCUCGGAUAUCCCCUUAGUUCGAGGCGGAGCCUCAUCAAUCACUAUAGAUCCAGUUGUCUUUGGGGCAUCGAUGGUUUUCUUUACUCGAGCCACCAGUAUGGAGUUGUCGUCAUUUUCUUCUUCUUCGUCUUCAUCCCUCAGACGCCGAAUAGAUUCUUUCGUCAGAGGGAUGGUGUUCUUCCUCGGCUUACGAGCCGUCUUUGUCUUAAGUUCUGGAUCUUCGGAAGCCGAGGCCCUUUUUCUCUUGUUGUCUUUUGCUAGUUUCGGAACCGGGGCCGAGGUCUCUUCCUCGCCAGAUGGCGGCCUCAUGACCGCAUCUUUGUCCAGGCCUACACACAGGAAAAUUGGUUAAGUUUAAGAAAGACAUUUUGAUCGAAUCAUCAAGAACAUAGGAAAGGGGCUUACCAUGAGUUUUGGCCUCCCAUCGGUCCUUUGAUAAAUCGUGCGUUGAGCUCUCAGCGUACGAAGAGGUCGAGGCCAGGUCCCGAACUCAGCUCUUGAGGUUAGGAAUUGCACCGGGCAUCCAAGAAACCACUACAUCACGGAAAAGGAUAUCGAUGAGAAGAAGCAAAGGGCCAAAACAAUAAAUAAGAAUUAACAGUGGAAUUAUACUUACGCUUCAUAUUCCAUUUCUCUGGAAAUGGCAUCUUCUCGGCCGGGAUUACGUUGGAAGUCCUCAUUCGAACAAACCGGCCCAUCCGGCCUCGGUCCUUGUCCUCAUCUAUGCUCGAGAAUAGCACUUUGGUGGCCCGUGACUUUUGCUCACAAAGAACAGAGCAGAAUAACAAUUCUCCAAAAAGAAGGGUGGAUUUGGCCUAGAGUUAUGUGGUACUGACGACAAAAAUCGAUGACGACGGGGUCGAGGGGGCCCAGCAUGAAAGGGUAGGUAUAAACACUUAAAAACCCUUCCACAUGGGUGGUAAUGUCUUCUUCCGGGGUCGGUAUCACCACUUCUUUGCCUUUCCAGUUGCAGUUUUUCCUUAACUGCUUAAGGUACCCUUCAGUUAUCGAGCAUAUGUACUUCGUCAUUGGCUCGCAUCGACCAGGAAUCGAUGAGGCUUUAUCAGUUUUGAAGUCAGAAGUAAUAACACACCCCCCGGGAACACACUCUUUAUGUCGUGGCUCCACCGUUGUUUUGUUGCCGGCCGGCCACGAUGAAGAAGCAUUUUCCUUUUGAGGAACAGUCUUUGAUGUUUUUGCCAUUUUUGUAUGGAUUUGAAGUUAAAAAUAGAUGAAGAUGAUAAUUUGGUGUUUUGAGAAGAUGGUAGCAGUGAAAAUCGUAGAUGUGCAUAUGAAGAGGUUAGAAGAUAUAAAAAGCUUUGAAGAUUAAGAAUCUAAAAGUAAAUGUUCGAAAUAGUGGAGAGAGGGGCUAUUUAUAAAUUUCACAACGACGGUUCAAUAUUGGCGGUGGCCGACCACUGACUGACGUUUAUUUAAUGCCUAGGAAACUAUAUAGACGGGACGUUUCAGUCACUUCUGUCGCUUAUGUCAUAAGGAUGACGUCCCGAUAGGUCGGGGUAGAAAAUCGAAGGCUCAAUUCAUUUCUUGUCAUUACACUCCAAAAUAACGAGGGGACUAUCUGUUCACGCUUAAAACCGAGCCCACCCAAUUUUACUGUUUGACCGAGACCGGGAGUUUGCAUCGAAGGACGACUCCAAAGUAGAUCGGAUCGAGGCAAGAAUACAAGGUACCAAGAUCGGGAUUCGAGGCACCUUCCAAGAUCGAGCCUACAACAAUCAAGACCGAACGAGAUAAGCGAGAUAUCCGUGACUGGUCGAAGAUCAUGGCAAAAAUCUCGGAACAGAUCAAAUCAAAAAUGGUUGUUUAGUUAAUCAUGGGAUUUACUUCUGUAAUUAGAAUUGUACCAUAUAUAGAAUUCCUCUACUAUAUAAAGGGGAGUUCUAACCAUUUGUAGGCACAACUGAUAACAAAGCAAUAUAAUUUUCUUCCUCGCUCACACUCUUGUUCUUCAAUCGGUAUUAAGUGAAAUCACGUGUCCUUAAAUCCACAUUAUAAGUUUAAUUGUUAUCCAAUUUCGAGGGUAAACAGAUCUUUAUCAUUGUUAGUUGGCCAAUUUGAUGAAGUUAACAACAUAAUUGAAUAUGCAAAGUAAGUGUUCACCAGAAGAGAACAUGUAAGCAUCAAAUGUGCGAAGGAGUUUUUAUUAAUUUAAAGUGUUGUUUCAAAGGGAACACCAAGUAAAAAUCAUGGUACAACUUUUGGCAAAAUGAGAUAUUUCAAUUGAAUGAAAGUAAAAUCCCUUAAAAUAUAAUUUAAGGAGGCAUGGAUAAAUAAAUCCACAAAAUCGUUUACAAGAAGAAAGGCGCAAAUUCUUCCCUUGUUGAUACUUCAAGCCUUGUCAUUAUAUUGACACUCUGACAAGUCUUGAAGUAGGGGCAUUUGUAGACAUGUAAAAUUUAUUUUAUUCAAAUUAAAUAAAUAAUUUAGUUUAUAUUUAACAUAUACUAGUCCAAAUAAAUUAUAGGCUAAUAUAAUUAGAUUAAUUAUUUAAAUCCAAUAAAUAUUGACUUGGAUAGCCCAUUUGAUUGGGCUACAAGUGAUGAGCCCAUUUAAUUGGGCUACAAGAGAUGAGCCCACUUAAUUAGGCCCAAGAUGUCAGCUUCCUAAAGGCCCAAUUUGAUGCCAUGUGUCAAAUGAAUGUGACACGCCAAGUCAAAUAGAAAAGCCAAUAGGAUCUUGCCACGUGUCAAAAUGAUAAGGCAUGCCAAAUUAAAUUAUAAGGCCAAUGAAACCGUGCCACAGAUGCAAGUGUAAUGACCCGGCCAGUUGUUUUGAGUAUUUUAGCCUUGAUCCCCUAUUUAUUGCCUCCUCUAUGUUGUAUUAUGGUUAUGUGACUUUUCGGGGGUGUUUGAUUUAGGUUUGGGGGAGUUACGGAGUGAAAUGGGACACAUAGUCCCUAAGUCAGUGCUUAAGUUGAAAGAGUUGACCGUAGUUUUACUUUUGUGUAGAUGACUCCAGAAUGGAGUUUUAAUGGUUCCAAUAGCUGCAUAUGGUGAUUUUGGACUUAGGAACAUGUCGAAAUAUUGAUUUGGAGGUCCGUAGGUCAUUUCGUCUUGAAUUGGCAAAAAUUAGAAAAUUCAAGGUUUGGAAGGUUAAGAAGUUUGACCGAGAGUUGAUUUCAUUGAUAUCAAGGUCAAAUUCUGAUUCCAAAAGUUGUAAUAGGUAUGUCAUGUCAUUUAUGACUUGUGUGCAAAAUUUGAGGUCGAUCGGAGUUAUUUUGGUAUGAACCGACAUUAGUUUUGGAAUUCAGAUGUUCAUAGUCUCAAUAGGCGUGAAUUGGGUUGCGAUUCAUUGAAUUGAUGUUGUUUGAUGUGAUUUUUUGCCUCGAAUAGCUCCAUUAUGUGUACUAGAACUUGUUGGUAUAUUCGAUGGGGGUCCCGGGAGCCCCGGGUGUGAUUCAGAUUGAAUCCGGAACAAAUAUUGACUUGUGUGAUUACUAAAGCAUGGUUGUGUCUGGUGCAUUCAUACCUGCGCACUUUGGGCCGAAGGUAUGACACCGUAGAAGCGGCUCUCGUAGCGCAGAAGCGAGAUUUGGCUUGUCAGCUGUGACCACAUGUUGUGUCGUUAAUUCGCAUAAGCGGACCCGCUGCUUCGGGGAAUGCAUCGCCGAAGCGGAAUGGGCUAGCCAGCCCUAGGGUCGCAAAAUUGGACCCUCCGCAGGUGCGCUUAGGGGUCCGUAGGUGCAAGUCUUCAGAGAUUAAGGUGGAACCGCACCUACGAUGGAUUUUCCGUAGGUGCAGCGUCGCAGGUGCGACCUCAUGCCCGGAGACGUGAGGAUCACUGGGCAGAAAAGGGGCCUUCGAUGGUUUGAUCUCAUUUUCCAUUUUUGGACUUAGAGAGCUCGGUUUGUGGUGAUAUUUUGAGAGCUUUUCCAGGAAAUCAUCGGGGUAAGAGAUUCUAACUUGGUUUAGGCUAUAUUACACGAAUUCAUUGUUAUUUUUGUCAUUUAAUUAGUGAUUUGAGUUGGAAAUUUGGGAAAACAUUGUGAAAACUUCUUAGACUAAAUUUUGGGAAUAUGAAAAGCGAUUUGAAGUCGGAUUUAAGUAAUUCUUAUGUGGUUGGACUCGUUAUCGAAUGGGUAUUCGGAUUUUGUAAUUUUGGCCAGGUUCCGAGACGCGGGUCCAGGGUUGACUUUUUGACUUGACUCUUUGUUUCUCUUUAAUGAUCGUAACUUUAUUGAUCGGAAUAGUUUCCUAUAGUUUAUAUUUAUGGUAUGAAGUUGUUUUGGCUAGAUUCGAGUCGUUCGGAGUUGGAUAAUCGAGGGAAAGACUUACUAGUGGAUGUAGUAGCAUAUGUUGUGGUAAGUGUCUUACCUAACUUUGUGUGGGUAAAUUACCCCUUAGGAUUGGUGUUGUUUUGUGUUAAUUGUGAUAUGUGAAAGCCGUGUACGCAAGGUGACGAGUGUGUACACGGGCUAAAUGUGGUAAUUUAUCGGUUCUAGCUAUGUAGAUUCUCUUCAUGCCUUUAAUUAAGUUACCAUAAUAUGUUAUAUUCAUCAUCUUUAGUCUAUCUUCACAUACUUUACUUGUCUUACCUCUUACUUGUUAAUUGCCUUUACAUGCCUAGUUGAAAUUAUUGUUUCCUCUAUUCCUUAUUCAUUAUUUAAUCAUUGAGUUCCUUACUUGAAGUUGUUAAUUCUUGGAAUUUCUUGUUGUUGAAAUUGGUAUUGGGCUAUAAAGGCCGUGAUUCACAUUGAGGCAAAGUUGUUAAGUUGUGAAAUAAUAUUCUUGUUGAGUUAUUCAUUUCCGAUUGUUAUUGUUGAGACUUUUGUGCAUAUUGUGGUUGAGCCCUGGGCUCUUUAAUGUGGAAACACCAUUGUUGUUGACUUCUUUGGCAAGUUGUGAUAUUGGGCACUUGAGGUGCGAUUUGUCAUACAUUGUGAUAUUGAUACGCAUGCGGCGGUAUAACGUUUGGGGUUGAAACGCAUGCGGUGAGAUAAGGUGGGCUUGAUACGCGUGUUGCUAGUAGGGGAAGUACUUGAAGCCACGCGGUAUGAUAAGGUGGGCUAAUACGCGGGAAGCUAUUUCGGGAAAAUGAUUUUCAAAACUAAAUGCAAGUCUCCCACGGUGAUAUAUGGAUAGAUUGUGAAUUGUUUUGUAAAAUGUGACUACGAGGUGGUACCUCAAUAGUGAUUUUUGUUGAUACUUUUCUAUUACUUCACUUGUGUUUUGGUUGCUUUGUUUACUUGGCAUAUCAUUCUUUGUUUUCUUCCGUGAUGCAUUAUUUGCCUUAGUUCAGUGUAACUAAUCUUGGUAUAUUUCUUUAUUGCUUCAUUUCCAUUGUUAUCAUUAUUACACUAUUAUAUAUACCUGUUCAGUUUCUUAUUUAUUCCAGUGGGGCCUUGAUCUGACCUCGUCACUACUCUACCGAGGUUAGGCUUGGCACUUAUUAGGUACCAUUGUUGUGUACUCAUUCUAUGCUUCUACACAUCAUUUUUUUGCAGAUACAGGUACUUCCUACUAGCCCAGGCACAAGUCAGACAAGCUCAGCUUCGGAGAGUCCGCAGGCCUCAGAGUCACCCUCUAUCUAGUUUACUUCAUUUUCUUUCCCUUUCAUAGACACUGUUGUAUAGGGAUGAUCAGUAUUUAUUCGUAGAGCUUGUGACUUGUUAUCACCAGAUUUUGGGAAGUUUUGUUAUGCUGAGUUGAGAAGUUUCUUUUAUGAUAGUUGUUGAGAAUUUGAGAGAGUUUUAUCAAUAUUUCUGUCAUAUUCUACAUGUAUGUUAGGCUUACCUAGUCUUGGAGACUAGGUGCCAUCAUGAAAUCCAACUGAGGGAAAUUGGGGUCGUGACAAGUUGGUAUCAGAGCCCUAGGUUCAUAGGUGUUAUGAGUCACAAGCAGGUUUAGUAGAGUCUCGCGGAUCGGUACAGGGACGUAUGUACUUAUCUUCGUGAGGCAAUAGAACUGUUAGGGAAAUCUUCACAUCUUUGAUUCCUUAUCGUGCGAAUUUGUUGACUUUGAAAUUCUAAAUCUCUAUCUUUCUAUGCUCUCACAGAUGGUGAGGACACGCAUAGCUAGAUCUGAUGAUCAGACACCCGCACCCCCUGCUAGAGCUGCG